rnacentral:tRNA from 1 species
CAGAAUAGAGCUUGAUAAGUUAAGCAGUUCAUUUACAUUGAAUAGAUACUCGUGCAAUUCGGGUUAUUCUGA